CGGACAGAGGCAGUGACUGACAACGUGGCGUUGUUAAUUCCGGGUCUCAGAGGAGCCCAGCUUAGGCAGCGUGUAGACGUGUCAGAGGCAAAACUACACUGAGCUGAGAGAAUGCAGGGGACACACACUAACUCAGAUGCACACAAUACCAUCAGGAGGAACUAACACAUCACUUAUUUUGUAUUGAGUCUUAAGGGAACACAGACAAACACUCCCUCUGUCACUAUAACACACAUAAGCAGGAGUCCCACCUUUCAGAGUGCCCACAGUAUCCCGGGUAACCUCAAUGGGAAACUUAAGCUCAGCAUCUUGAGGGACAAAGGCCUUGUAGCCAGCAUGGGAGGGAGACAGGGCUGCCCAGCUUGCCUCCUCCAGGAAGUUAGACUCAAAGUAUUCCAGCUGGUACAACUCAACAAGCAACCCAUGCUCAUCUGCACAUGGAGAGGAUGAAUGAUGACCAGCAGGACAGUGAACUGACCUGAGCCGGCUGAGGUCUUCCCUUGGGCUGGAGCGAGGCACCGGAUUUGCUCAUCAGUGACGCCCUGGAUGGCACACUCGGCUCCCCCAACCCCCACCUGCGGUACACACCUCAUUACUCAAGGCACUCUCUCCUUGCAUGGGUCAAAGCUAAGACCAUCACACCUCAUUACUCGUGGCACUCCCGGCGUAAGAAACAAGCCAAGAAAAAAGUGGAUAGCUAUCAGAAAAGGGAAACAAAUAAAGAAAAUAAGAAGUAAUAGGAAAGCAGCAAGAAUUUUUCAAGGAUGACCGAGAAAAAGUAGAUGACAAGUUAGUAAAGACUAGAGAUCAAGAAAGAAGGACAGACCAGAGAAUAGGAAGAGAAGAACUGAUCAAAAAAGAAAACAGAAAUAACACCAGAAAGAAAACUAUGAUCAGAGGAGAAGAAUAAAAAGAAGAAAAGGAAUAAAAAGAAAAGAAUGAAAAGAAAAAGAAUAAAAGAAUAAAAGAAUAAAAAGAAUAAAAGGAAAAUAAAAAAGAAAAAGAAAAAUAAGAAUAAGAAGAAUAAGAAUAAGAAUAAGAAUAAAAAGAAUAAGAAGAAUAAGAAGAAUAACAAUAAGAAUGACAAUAAGAAUAAGAAUAAGAAUAAGAAGAAUAAGAAUAAGAAGAACAAGAAUAAGGAUAAUAAUAAGAAUAAGAAAAAUAAGAAUAGGAAUAAGAAUAAUAAGAAUAAGAAUAAUAAUAACAAUAAGAAGAAUAACAAGAAUAAGAAUUAGAAGAAUAAGAAUAAGAAUAAGAAUAAUAUGAAUAACAAUAAGAAUAAUAAGAAUAACAAUAAGAAUAAUAAGAAUAAUAAUGAAUAAGAAUAAGAAUAAUAAGAAAAGAAUAAAAAGAAAAAUAAGAAUAAGAAGAAUAAUAAG